rnacentral:rRNA from 1 species
GAUGAACGCUGGCGGCGUGCUUAACACAUGCAAGUCGAACGAUGAAGCCCAGCUUGCUGGGUGGAUUAGUGGCGAACGGGUGAGUAACACGUGAGUAACCUGCCCUUAACUCUGGGAUAAGCCUGGGAAACUGGGUCUAAUACCGGAUAGGAGCGUCCACCGCAUGGUGGGUGUUGGAAAGAUUUAUCGGUUUUGGAUGGACUCGCGGCCUAUCAGCUUGUUGGUGAGGUAAUGGCUCACCAAGGCGACGACGGGUAGCCGGCCUGAGAGGGUGACCGGCCACACUGGGACUGAGACACGGCCCAGACUCCUACGGGAGGCAGCAGUGGGGAAUCUUGCACAAUGGGCGCAAGCCUGAUGCAGCGACGCCGCGUGAGGGAUGACGGCCUUCGGGUUGUAAACCUCUUUCAGUAGGGACGAAGCGAAAGUGACGGUACCUGCAGAAGAAGCACCGGCUAACUACGUG